rnacentral:tRNA from 1 species
GCAGCGAUGUCCGAGAGGCUGAAGGAGCACGCUUGGAAAGCGUGUGUAGGUGUAAGCUUACCGAGGGUUCGAAUCCCUCUCGCUGCGCCA